GAUGAAGGACGUAGCGAAACGCGAUAAGUAAUGUGAAUUGCAGAAUCCAGUGAAUCAUCGAAUCUUUGAACGCACAUUGCGCCCGCCAGCAUUCUGGCGGGCAUGCCUGUUCGAGCGUCAUUUCAACCCUCGACCUCCCCUUGGGGAGGUCGGCGUUGGGGACCGGCAGCACACCGCCGGCCCUGAAAUGGAGUGGCGGCCCGUCCGCGGCGACCUCUGCGCAGUAAUACAGCUCGCACCGGGACCCCGACGCGGCCACGCCGUAAAACACCCAACUUCUGAACGUUGACCUCGAAUCAGGUAGGACUACCCGCUGAACUUAAGCAUAUCAAUAAGCGGAGGA
rnacentral:misc_RNA from 1 species